UAGGGAAUCUUCGGCAAUGGACGAAAGUCUGACCGAGCAACGCCGCGUGAGUGAAGAAGGUUUUCGGAUCGUAAAACUCUGUUGUUAGAGAAGAACAAGGACGUUAGUAACUGAACGUCCCCUGACGGUAUCUAACCAGAAAGCCACGGCUAACUACGUGCCAGCAGCCGCGGUAAUACGUAGGUGGCAAGCGUUGUCCGGAUUUAUUGGGCGUAAAGCGAGCGCAGGCGGUUUCUUAAGUCUGAUGUGAAAGCCCCCGGCUCAACCGGGGAGGGUCAUUGGAAACUGGGAGACUUGAGUGCAGAAGAGGAGAGUGGAAUUCCAUGUGUAGCGGUGAAAUGCGUAGAUAUAUGGAGGAACACCAGUGGCGAAGGCGGCUCUCUGGUCUGUAACUGACGCUGAGGCUCGAAAGCGUGGUGAGCAAACGGG
rnacentral:rRNA from 1 species